rnacentral:rRNA from 1 species
CAAUAUUCUUCAGUCGGAGUGGCGCAAGGGUGCGUAACACGUGGGCAAUCUACCGCGAAGACCGGAAUAACCUGCUGAAAGGCGGGCUAAUGCCGGAUGUGACUGUCUGAAGGAAUCUUCGGACACUCAAAGUUGGGGACCGUAAGGCCUGACACUUCGCGAUGAGCCCGCGGCCUAUCAGCUAGUUGGCGGGGUAACGGCCCACCAAGGCUAAGACGGGUAGCUGGUCUGAGAGGACGACCAGCCACACUGGAACUGAGACACGGUCCAGACACCUACGGGUGGCAGCAGUCGAGAAUUUUUCACAAUGGGCGAAAGCCUGAUGGAGCGACGCCGCGUGGGGGAUGAAGGGCUUCGGCUCGUAAACCCCUGUCAUUCGAGAACAAACCCUACGAUUUAACAGAUCGUGGGCUGAUAGUAUCGGAAGAGGAAGGGACGGCUAACUCUGUGCCAGCAGCCGCGGUAAUACAGAGGUCCCAAGCGUUGUUCGGAUUUACUGGGCGUAAAGGGUACGUAGGCGGCGAGGAAAGUUUGAGGUGAAAUCUCCAGGCUCAACUUGGAAAAUGCCUUGAAGACUUCCUUGCUCGAGGGUCGUAGAGGAGACUGGAAUUCUCGGUGUAGCAGUGAAAUGCGUAGAUAUCGAGAGGAACACCAGUGGCGAAAGCGGGUCUCUGGACGACACCUGACGCUGAGGCACGAAAGCCAGGGGAGCAAACGGGAUUAGAUACCCCGGUAGUCCUGGCCCUAAACGGUGCGCACUUGCUGUGAGUAGAUUUAAAACCUACUCGUGGCGUAGUUAACACGUUAAGUGCGCCGCCUGAGGAGUACGGUCGCAAGAUUAAAACUCAAAGAAAUUGACGGGGGCCUG